rnacentral:rRNA from 1 species
CAGGCGGCUUUUCAAGUCUGCUGUUAAAGCGUGGAGCUUAACUCCAUCAUGGCAGUGGAAACUGAAAGGCUUGAGUAUGGUAGGGGCAGAGGGAAUUCCCGGUGUAGCGGUGAAAUGCGUAGAUAUCGGGAAGAACACCAGUGGGCGAAGGCGCUCUGCUGGGCCAUUACUGACGCUCAUGGACGAAAGCCAGGGGAGCGAAAGGGAUUAGAUACCCCUGUAGUCCUGGCCGUAAACGAUGAACACUAGGUGUCGGGGGAAUCGACCCCUUCGGUGUCGUAGCUAACGCGUUAAGUGUUCCGCCUGGGGAGUACGCACGCAAGUGUGAAACUCAAAGGAAUUGACGGGGGCCCGCACAAGCGGUGGAGUAUGUGGUUUAAUUCGAUGCAACGCGAAGAACCUUACCAGGGUUUGACAUCCUGCGAACCUCUUAGAAAUUUGAGGGUGCCUUCGGGAAUGCAGUGACAGGUGGUGCAUGGCUGUCGUCAGCUCGUGUCGUGAGAUGUUGGGUUAAGUCCCGCAACGAGCGCAACCCACGUUUUUAGUUGCCAGCAUUUAGUUGGGCACUCUAGAAAGACCGCCGGUGAUAAACCGGAGGAAGGUGUGGAUGACGUCAAGUCAUCAUGCCCCUUACACCCUGGGCUACACACGUACUACAAUGCUACGGACAAAGGGCAGCAAACUCGCGAGAGCUAGCAAAUCCCAUAAACCGUGGCUCAGUUCAGAUCGUAGGCUGCAACUCGCCUACGUGAAGUAGGAAUCGCUAGUAAUCGCAGGUCAGCAUACUGCGGUGAAUACGUUCCCGGGCCUUGUACACACCGCCCGUCACACCAUGGAAGUUGGCCAUGCCCGAAGUCGUUACUCCAACCCUUGUGGAGGAGGACGCCGAAGGUGGGGCUAAUGACUGGGGUGAAGUCGUAACAAGGUAACCGUA